rnacentral:rRNA from 1 species
GGGUAGUCCUAGCCGUAAAUCAUGCGGACUUUGGUGUUGCAUUGUCGUAAGGCAAUGCAGUGCUGUAGCGUAGGUGUUAAGUCCGCCGCCUGGGGAGUACGGCCGCAAGGCUGAAACUUAAAGGAAUUGGCGGGGGAGCACCACAAGGGGUGGAUGCUACGGUUCAAUUGGAUACAACGCCGGGAACCUCACCAAGGGCGACGGCAGGAUGAAGGCCAGACUAAAGAUCUUGCCUGACGAGCCGAGAGGUGCUGCAUGGCCAUCGUCAGCUCGUGGUGUGAACUGUCCGGUUAAGUCCGGCAACGAGCGAGACCCAUGCCUUUAGUUGCUAACUUCUCCUACGGGAGAGGUGCACUCUAAAGGGACUGCCCGCGUUAAGUGGGAGGAAGGAGUGGGCGACGGUAGGUCAGUAUGGCCCGAACCCCUUGGGCUACACGCGGCAUACAAUGGGGCAGAACAAAGGGGUAGCGACGCCGAAAGGCGAAGCCAAUCUCUUAAAUCUGCUCUUGGUUGGGAUCGAGGGUU